rnacentral:snoRNA from 1 species
AGCCCCAUUGCUAAGUCAGGGCUUUUUCCUGCAUUCGUUGCUACUCUCUAUGGAAGAAGUCCGUUACAGCUUUGGGAGAUCAAGCUCGCCCGCCGCUUCUGGCCGUCAUGGCUUUGAAGUUGGACAAUCUCCGUCUUGGCGUUUGUCCGCAAGGGUCUGAGAAUGAUUCGUUUGAGUUGAGGGCCGUCUCCGCGUUAAGUGGUUUUCAUGGCGGUCCUCUUAGUAACGUUUCAUAUAUGC